rnacentral:rRNA from 1 species
UACAGAGGGUGCAAGCGUUAAUCGGAAUUACUGGGCGUAAAGCGAGCGUAGUCGGUUAUUUAAGUCGGGUGUGAAAGCCCCGGGCUCAACCUGGGAAUUGCAUUCGAUACUGGAUAGCUAGAGUUCGGCAGAGGGAAGCGGAAUUUCCGGUGUAGAGGUGAAAUUCGUAGAUAUUCGGAAGAACACCAGUGGCGAAGGCGGCUCACUGGCCCGGUACUGACGCUGAGGUGCGAAAGCGUGGGGAGCAAACAGG